GAGUUUGAUCCUGGCUCAGGAUGAACGCUAGCGGGAGGCUUAACACAUGCAAGUCGAGGGGUAACAGGAAGAAACUUCGGUUUUUUCGCUGACGACCGGCGGACGGGUGAGUAACGCGUAUGCAACCUGCCUUUUACAGAGGAAUAGCUUUCGGAAACGGAAAUUAAUACCUCAUAACACUACAAGACGGCAUCGUUUUGUAGUUAAAACUACGGUGGUAAAAGAUGGGCAUGCGGAACAUUAGCUAGUUGGUAAGGUAACGGCUUACCAAGGCGACGAUGUUUAGGGGACCUGAGAGGGUGAUCCCCCACACUGGUACUGAGACACGGACCAGACUCCUACGGGAGGCAGCAGUGAGGAAUAUUGGUCAAUGGACGGAAGUCUGAACCAGCCAUCCCGCGUGCAGGAAGACGGCCCUAUGGGUUGUAAACUGCUUUUCUGAAGGAAGAAUAAUUACGAUGUAUCGUAAGACGACGGUACUUCAGGAAUAAGCAUCGGCUAACUCCGUGCCAGCAGCCGCGGUAAUA
rnacentral:rRNA from 1 species